UAUACAAGGUUUGUUAUGGCAAAAGAUUAGGUGAUCAUACUAAUUUUAAUGUGAUAAACAGAUGAUGUGCAUUUAAAGAAGUCAAGAAAUGCAAUGAAGCGAGUUGGUCUGAAGACAAAGAAUGUUCAGCUGGCCAAAACUCCCAGAUACCAUGUAGUCAAGAGUCCACUUAUUCAGAAAGCUCUGUGUGUCAAAACAUCUGGUGACUGUCUGGAUGAUAACAAUGAAAGCCCUGAUGACAGUUAUUUAAACUCAAGCCAGCCCAACCCAGUAUUCUUAGAUACUCUUCAGGGAAAUGUGGCAAUGCAUGAGGAUGAUCAUCCCAAAAGCUCUGCUUCUUCAGGGAAGGAACCAAAGGAAACAAAAUGCAAAGUCACCAUGGAGAAAUUGUUUGAUCUGAAUACUAAGAUACUCCAACAAAUUCAAAUGCUGGAACAGAGACAAGCUGUCAUCAUGAAUGACUUGGCAAAAGUUAAGUCUGUUCUCAUGAAGCGGGCAGAAGAAGAUGCCCAUUAGGAACAGAACACCCGACCAGUUAUCUGACAGCAGCACUUAUUUAAUUCCAUACCCAACCCGACCCAUUUGACAUUAAGACCGUGACCUGAGUCGCACAUGCAUUAAAUCUACCAUAUCAGGCUGGAAAAUUAAAUAAAGACCUUUUACGUUAAUUUGAUACUUUCA
ensembl:lncRNA